AUGCUCUAUUACUUUUUUUUAAUGCAUGCACUGCUGUUACUUCUUUAUUACCACUCAUUAAAUGUUUGCAAUAUCAACACCCUCUCAUUACUAUCCUGCCUUCUUCAUGCCUGUCUUUGCUCUUUUUUUUUUUUUAAUCUCAGUAUCCUUUGGCCAUUCAUUCUGUUCCCAGUAUUUCACCUCUACAUUUCUUGCAGAACUGCCUUUGCAUUUCAGCUUCCUGAGUCAGAGAGAAAUAUUAUGUCCAUGUAAGCAUUUAUAUGGGUGAUGCAAAACCACUAAACCUGAGCAUGGAAGCAUCUAUUAUUAAUUUAANNNNNNNNNNNNNNNNNNNNNNNNNNNNNNNNNNNNNNNNNNNNNNNNNNNNNNNNNNNNNNNNNNNNNNNNNNNNNNNNNNNNNNNNNNNNNNNNNNNNAGUUCAUCUGUAGAUAGCAUUCGUAUUUAAAAGACCUAGAGUUUUGUUCUGUAGCAAGGAAUGAGAAAAAGAGUGAAAACUGUCAUAUGUUUUCUAAGUUUACUGAGCUGUAAUUUCAUUUUCUGCUUACUUCUAUUCUUCCUUUGAGGCACAUUGUUCACCAGCUAAACACUAGACCUCCUCAGACACACUGAGGAUUAUCUAAUGCUAAUAGAAAUCUGUUUUUUUCUUACAUUCAGAAUAUUUAGCUUCAUUUUUCACAGGACUUCUUCAGAAGUUCCUGCUUCUGUGAAUAGUCAAACUAAAUGUCUUUCCCACAUGUCCACAUCUAUCAUUUCAGACAGGUCUCACAGAACUCACAACUACAUUGUCAGAUAAUUUGUUAGUGUGUUUCCACAGUCCUCUUACACGUUUGUUGUUUUUUUUCUUAAUUUUGACCUGAAAUUUUAGUGCUAAAGAUAACAUAAAUAACGGAAAUGCUCAGUGACAUAUUUAUAUAAUAACCCUCCAACAUAAGCCAAGGCAGCAGAUGAUUACUGAAGUUUCCUCUUUGCUGAUGGGCUCCAUAAUAUAUGUGCUCAGAAUCAGUAAGGAAUCAUGCUGACAUUUCCUUACAUGCUAUAGCUUAUCUAACCUUGCUUCACACUUAUGAACACUAUUUAGGGAUGAAGAUACCUUUGCAUUAGGUCCUGUGGCAAUAUAAGUAAAAAUAUGCUCCUCUGCUCCAAAGUAAUUACAAUAUGGGCAUAGAAAGAGACAGAAAAACAAAGAUAAAGACAACAACAGAAUACUGGGCUGUCCCAUUUAUAGUGGUCUACCACUAGUGACCUGGGGCUUUUUUUUUAGCUAAGAAAAGAGAAUCUAGAAUGAGACUACAGAUUUGUUUAGUGGCUAGUUACACAAAAUUCUACUCAAGUAUUUUGAGCAUCACAAGGGAAAACACAAAGGUGUUGCUCAAAAUUAAGAACAAACAAUCAAGUUUGGCAUCAGUAGCUAACUGGCUGUCCAUCAUGGAGAUGGCAUCCUAAUAGCAAGACAGAAGUACAGAAGAUAAAAAAAUAUUGUGAAAUCAAAAGAGAAUUAGUUCAUGUUCGAUAGGACAGAGAAGUUGGGUGCAUCAGAUGAUCUGGAUGAAUGUGGGUAGAUGAAAAUGGCUUGUCUUAGUGUCUAUAGUUCUGUAAGAAGGCAAUCCAAUCUGAAAGUGAUUACUUAGGAAAAGGUUUCAAUUGAAUAUGACUUCCAGGUCAAUGGCUUGAACAUUUGGAAAUACAGUGAUCAAACACGGAAAGUAAUGAAAAAGACAUGGGUGAGAAACUAAAAAGCUUAGGCUUAGCCACGGUAGACUUGUGCUUAUAGCUAACAUUGAUCACAAACUGUUAGAUGCAGGCUAAAAUGUGUAUUAUCAGCUUUAACAGAGAAAAAUAGAUACAUUCAUUUCCAGGAUAAAAAUCAGAAGUAAAAUUUAGCAGUACGUAGGGAAUAGAUCCUCCUAAUUUCAAUCUUUUAGUUAAUAAGAAUCUUUAUCCUUUAUUGAAAAGCAUUUAACUUUUAUAAUACUUACCACUGCUAGCUUCAUUGCAACAUAAUAUCAAAAGAAAAAAGAAAAAAAAAAGAAAAAAAAAUGUAAAGUCUGCUGAAAAGAAUACUAAGUGGACUCAGUAAAGGGGAUUUUGUAGCUGAGAAACAUGGCAUACAUUGGCAGAACUCUACUGAUUCUAAGAUAGACCUGCCAAGAUGUGUCCAAGCAUCAACUCUUUUUGUAUUUCCAAAUAGAUCAACUGUUUCCAAACCACAGAUUAACACUGAUCUUUGCAAUAUCCACAAAAAUUAUUUAUAUCCUAGCUUUCUCUACAUCUAGAUAUGUAUGAGUGACAGAAAUGUAUUACAGAAAAUAAGAGGACAGUUGGAUAAUAUUUGGAGGACAGUUCCAGAAGCCAUCACUGGAUUUUGUUCUCCUUCUCCCUUCAAAAUACCUGUCAUGUAUUGCAAAGAUCAGGAGCUAAUUAUAGUAAUGAGGAAAGACGGUAAGUAAUCUGGGGAAAAUCUGAGGUUUCUUUCUUCUUUAACAUCUACAGUUUCAGAGAUCAAAUACUGCUCUAUAUUAACAGAAAAGAAGCAAUACAGUACUCAGUUUUGGUGUCUGUAAUCUCUCCAAAAAGCUGCAAAGCUGCUUUUUGUGGGUUGUGUUUUUGUUUUUGUUUUUGUUUUUUGACAUCUUAAGCCAUUAUCUUGUGAAUGAAGAAUGGAACAAUGAGGAACAAAAAAAUGACACAUUCUUUUUUACUUAUUGUAUAGUGAACAGAGAAUAUGUUUCCCUUGACUUUACUUAAUAGGGUUCUUCUUCUCGAAUAAUCCAGAUGAACAAUAAGCUAACUGAGGAAUAAGUUUCAUUCACUUCUCAAAAUUAAUGGUCUAGUCCAGAGAAUAGCGUGCAGUGAUUUAAAUGGUUUGGAAGAAACAUAGUUGAACUAUGUAUUGCUAGCCAAACAAGGAAAGUUGACAAAAGCAUCUAUCAAAUGAUAAGAAUUUUGACAGCGUACUUUGCGAGAAAUCAUAAAAAAUCCCUCAGUCCUGCAUAUUCUACAGUUUUCUACAUCUGUGCAAAAAAACUGCAAAAUGUUCAGGUAAGCUCGCUUUCAACAGAUGUUGAUUACUACUCAGAUUGUGAAGCAUCAAAAAAAAAGUCUUCUGCGGCCCAGUCACCCAAAGUGGAUGAUUAAGUAUUUACUCAAAAACUAUUCUCCGCACUACUCCAAUGCAUUUGUAAGAGAACUACAUGAAAAACACAUUCCCUGAUGGCAUUAUACUUUUAAAGGCUCAAAACCAAAUAAAUUAAUUUAGCAUGUUAUGAAAGAAUUAAAACAAUAUCAACAUAUUUUUACAAUUUCAAUGAGGUCUGUUUUUUUCAGAAGGACUUGUUCUUUGCCUGUUGCCAAAAUUCAGCAUGGCCCCAGAGACUUGCAUCACAAACCUAUGUGAAUGACAAUCACCAUUUCUGAGCUCCUAUCUGGUAGAGGCCACCUUCCUAAAAAAAAUUCAGUGACAUUUCUUCUGACACCAAGUGCUCUGGAAGUUAACUACAAAUAUAUUUCCACUUUCUUUUAAUGAUAGUUUAGCAGUCAGAAGCAAAGCUUUAAUCUUUUUAAAAAUAUAUCUCCUUAAUAAAAUUAAAAAUGUUUUUUUUAUUUAUUGGGCAUUUAAUAUAAUACCAACAACUAAGAAAAGAUACAUUUACAUAAUACCAUGAGAUUCUAAAGUGCUUUGUUCCACGAAAUCACAUAAUAAAAUGUAAUUGUAUUAUUUUUAAACUGAUGUUGUGGCAUACAUCACUUAGUUAAAAGAACUGAUGUAUUUACAGAAAAAUUCUUAAAAUCUUACCCAGAAAUUUUAAGAUACAGAUUCACAGAAUCUCAGAAUCACAGAAUGGCUUGGGU
rnacentral:lncRNA from 1 species